rnacentral:rRNA from 1 species
GCUACAAUGGCGGUACAGACGGAGGCGAAGCGCGAGCGGAGCAAAUCCGAAAAAGCCGGUCUCAGUUCGGAUUGCAGGCUGCAAUUCGCCUGCAUGAAGUCGGAAUCGCUAGUAAUCGCAGGUCAGCAUACUGCGGUGAAUACGUUCCCGGGCCUU